AUUGAAUGCUGGCGGAAUGCUUUACACAUGCAAGUCGAGCGGCAGCACGGGGGCAACCCUGGUGGCGAGCGGCGAACGGGUGAGUAAUACAUCGGAACAUGCCCAGUCGUGGGGGAUAACACUUCGAAAGAAGUGCUAAUACCGCAUACGUCCUGAGGGGGAAAGCGGGGGAUCGCAAGACCUCGCGCGAUUGGAGUGGCCGAUGUCAGAUUAGCUAGUUGGUGGGGUAAAGGCCUACCAAGGCAACGAUCUGUAGCUGGUCUGAGAGGAUGAUCAGCCACACUGGGACUGAGACACGGCCCAGACUCCUACGGGAGGCAGCAGUGGGGAAUUUUGGACAAUGGGGGCAACCCUGAUCCAGCCAUUCCGCGUGAGUGAAGAAGGCCUUCGGGUUGUAAAGCUCUUUCGGCAGGAACGAAACGGUGAGCUCUAACAUAGCUUGCUAAUGACGGUACCUGAAGAAGAAGCACCGGCUAACUACGUG
rnacentral:rRNA from 1 species